GACGAACGCUGGCGGCGUGCCUAAUACAUGCAAGUCGAGCGGACAGAAGGGAGCUUGCUCCCGGAAGUUAGCGGCGGACGGGUGAGUAACACGUGGGCAACCUACCCUGUAGAUCGGGAUAACAUCGAGAAAUCGGUGCUAAUACCGGAUAAUCAUUUGAAGUGCAUGCUUCGAAUGUAAAAGAUGGCUCCGGCUAUCACUACGGGAUGGGCCCGCGGCGCAUUAGCUAGUUGGUAAGGUAAUGGCUUACCAAGGGAACGAUGCGUAGCCGACCUGGGAGGGUGAUCGGCCACACUGGGACUGAGACACGGCCCAGACUCCUACGGGAGGCAGCAGUAGGGAAUCUUCCGCAAUGGACGAAAGUCUGACGGAGCAACGCCGCGUGAGUGAUGAAGGUUUUCGGAUCGUAAAGCUCUGUUGUUAGGGAAGAACAAGUGCCGUUUGAAUAAGGCGGCACCUUGACGGUACCUAACCAGAAAGCCACGGCUAACUACGUGCCAGCAGCCGCAGUAAGAC
rnacentral:rRNA from 1 species